UGUCAUUGAUUAUUCUAUUUAUUGAGUUUAACAGUACACAAGUUAGAAAUGUAUCAAACACGUUUACUAAAACAAGAAUUUUGCAAUCCACUUAGUACAUAGCGGACACACACUUUUCAUCAGGCAAAACAAUGACAGGAUACAAUCUUAAUACACAGCAAUUUAACAUUUGAAAAUGCAGUCAAAAUAUUAAUUAUGUUCAUCACAAAAGAACUAAAAAAAACUUCAUCCAAUAUGAUAAGCAAUUAAUUUUAAAAUAACUUUUAUAAUACUGGCAUAUACCAUAGAAGUUCUCUACUACAUAAUGAAACUUAAAAGAUGUUAAGCAAGAGUUCAAAUACAAACUUCUUAGAAAAUCCCAAUUAUGCUACACAUACACAUAAAUCUGCAACAACAAGAGGAAAAAGGCCUUCUAUAAGCUGUGAACAAAAUGGCACGUCCAGUCAAAUGUGAAACUUCAAGUUAGCACUAGAAUUUCAACACCAAGAUACUUAAAUAUGUGAAUCAUACAAGAGAUACUACCUGGUACAAAGAUGUGGGCUCAGAAAUGUACUUUUUGGAGUUCUCACAAUUCGUUAAUACCGACCAUGUUAGGUAAAGUCACAUAAAUGCGAAGGAAAAGGUACAUGUAAAUGAUGCAUUACUGCAACGUUUGGCAACCCUUUCAACAUGUUUAAAAACUUAAUGCUUUUACUGACUUCAUUAAAAUGGGUCACAGUGUUGACUACAGCAUUUUCUUGUUAGCCAAUCUGAUAUUAUCUUUGCCAAUUUGAAGCAUCACAUUUUAUUGGUUCAAACAAAAUGCAUGCAUUAGAAAUUUAAAAUUCAUUAACAA